GGCUCCAUAGUGUAGUAGUUAGCAUGUCUGCUUUACACGCAGAAUGUCCUGGGUUCAUGCCCCAGGUAGAGCCA
rfam:Pteropus alecto contig165571, whole genome shotgun sequence.